GUUCCAAUAGGCGUAGAAUGCAUUGAAAAGCUCUCAAACACACAUAAAACCGUUAAAAAAUGACAAAAACAACAAAUUCGAUAAUUUGGACAUGACCUUGACUUUUGACCUUGUAACCUUUGUGAAGGUCAUUGGUCCACAAUGUCAUUGUAAAAGACCCCAUGGGUCUAGGACUUUUCGUUCAAGAGUUAAAGCUAAUUUUACCUUUUCAGAAACCGUUAACGGCGGUUAUGCCCCUUAAGAAUAUGUCAAAUCCUUUCGGUCAAAAUGUAAAAAAGUUGUGCCUCAGUCACCUUAACAUUUUUCACUGUUUACUAUUUCUGUAAGAUUAACCGUUUUUGAGAUAUCGACUAAAAAGUUGAAAGGUCAAAGGUCAAGGUCAACCUUAAAAACUUUAAAAC
rnacentral:lncRNA from 1 species